rnacentral:miRNA from 1 species
UAUUUAAUACUUGCGGAAAUUGUUACCAUUUUUGAGCCGAAAAUGGUAACAAUUUCCGCUCGUAAUACAAA